ACGGAGGGUGCAAGCGUUAAUCGGAAUCACUGGGCGUAAAGCGCACGUAGGCGGCCUGGUAAGUCAGGGGUGAAAUCCCACAGCCCAACUGUGGAACUGCCUUUGAUACUGCCAGGCUUGAGUACCGGAGAGGGUGGCGGAAUUCCAGGUGUAGGAGUGAAAUCCGUAGAUAUCUGGAGGAACACCGGUGGCGAAGGCGGCCACCUGGACGGUAACUGACGCUGAGGUGCGAAAGCGUGGGUAGCAAACAG
rnacentral:rRNA from 1 species